rnacentral:lncRNA from 1 species
GUUCCCCUAUAGACCUAUUCAUUCUUUAGUAGUGGUAUGGGUUAAACCAAGGAUGCAUAUACACCUGGGCACCUUGAACAUGUAUAUGAGUAAACCUUCUUAAUUUAUUGAUGAUGUCAAAACAAGCUUUUACAAUUUAUUUUGAUUUGUAUAUACAUUGAUAUAUUAUCAUGAAGUACAUACACAUUUCACUAAAAAAUCUGCCUUUUUAGAUUUUUUUU